AACGAACGCUGGCGGCAUGCCUAACACAUGCAAGUCGAACGAGAUCUUCGGGUCUAGUGGCGCACGGGUGCGUAACGCGUGGGAAUCUGCCCUUUGGUUCGGAAUAACAGAUGGAAACGACUGCUAAUACCGGAUGAUGACGAAAGUCCAAAGAUUUAUCGCCAGAGGAUGAGCCCGCGUAGGAUUAGCUAGUUGGUGUGGUAAAGGCGCACCAAGGCGACGAUCCUUAGCUGGUCUGAGAGGAUGAUCAGCCACACUGGGACUGAGACACGGCCCAGACUCCUACGGGAGGCAGCAGUGGGGAAUAUUGGACAAUGGGCGAAAGCCUGAUCCAGCAAUGCCGCGUGAGUGAUGAAGGCCUUAGGGUUGUAAAGCUCUCUUACCCGGGAUGAUAAUGACAGUACCGGGAGAAUAAGCUCCGGCUAACUCCGUGCCAGCCGCCGCGGUAAAAC
rnacentral:rRNA from 1 species